UAAAACUGUGACGCUUGAAGAUAAACGUGACCUUGACCAGCCCUGAGCAGCAGGACUCUUUGGUCCAACUCCCCGAAAAACUAUUGUCAAGAAAAUGCUCAGUGACCUCCAAACUCCUGACCUUUCAAUUACCUCAGUGGAUGGACCAAGAGAAAGCAAAAGGCAUCCCAGUGUCUCCUCACUAUGGAGUAGAAGGAGCAAGAGGUUUAUAAUAGCAUCUUGUUAUAUUGAAGUCACAAGCUACCAGCAUCUUCUUAUAUUGAAGUCACAGGCAGGAUUUAAAUUCAUCUUAUAUGUAAGUAUGGUAUCCCAGUGUGUCAGUGAAGAGACAGAUGUUACCGAGAUCACCUUGCCCAGGGACGCAUCUCCUAAUAUCUGCAAGGAUGUCCUGUAUACCAAAAGUAUAGCUUCAUUCCUUCUAAUCCCAAAGACUCUUGAAUAAAGCAAAUAUGUGGGAGGACAAAGAUGAUGGUAAGCACAGAGGA
ensembl:lincRNA